ACUUUGCCGGAUUGCUGAGAGGUGGUGCAUGGCCGUCGUCAGUUCGUACUGUGAAGCAUCCUGUUAAGUCAGGCAACGAGCGAGACCCACGCCCACAGUUGCCAGCGUACUCUCUGGAGUGACGGGUACACUGUGGGGACCGCCGCUGCUAAAGCGGAGGAAGGAAUGGGCAACGGUAGGUCAGUAUGCCCCGAAUAUCCCGGGCUACACGCGAGCUACAAUGGUUGGUACAAUGGGUAUCUACCCCGAAAGGGGACGGGAAUCUCCUAAAACCAAUCUUAGUUCGGAUUGAGGGCUGCAACUCGCCCUCAUGAAGCUGGAAUCCGUAGUAAUCGCGUUUCAACAGAACGCGGUGAAUACGUCCCUGCUCCUU
rnacentral:rRNA from 1 species